rnacentral:rRNA from 1 species
CUACGGGGGGCUGCAGCUGCGAAACCUUUACAAUGCACGCAAGUGUGAUAGGGGGAUCCCGAGUGCUAAUGCUUUGCAUUGGCUUUUGCUAAGGGUAAGUACCUUGGCGAAUAAGGGGUGGGUAAGACUGGUGCCAGCCGCCGCGGUAACACCAGCGCCUCAAGUGGCAAUCACGAUUAUUGGGUCUAAAGCGUCCGUAGCCGGUUCAGUAAAUCUCUUGUGAAAUCGUCGGGCUAAACCUGACGGCUGGCAGGAGAGACUGCUGGGCUUGAGACCGGAAGGAGUGUGAAGUAUGGUGCGGGGACCGGUAAAAUGGGAUAAUCCGCGCUAGACUACCGAUGGCGAAGGCAUCACACCAGGACGGAUCUGACGGUGAGGGACGAAAGCUAGGGGAGCGAACCGGAUUAGAUACCCGGGUAGUC